rnacentral:lncRNA from 1 species
GUCAGACUGUCACCUGUCGCUUAUUGCUAACACUGGUCUUGCCUGUAUUAAUACCUUCCCUGUCCUCAUCCCAUGUAAUUUGUGAUUCUUAACCUAAAGUGAUGUUGGGAAACCUGAUCAUGAGGAGCUUGUUUGAUUUCUAUCUGAAAUUGGGAAUUUAGUCCCUCAACAACCAUUUACUGGGUCCCUGUACCUGUGCAGCAGCAGCAGUACCUGGGUGCAAGGCACAAGAUGGUGCAAGGGCUGAAGAAGAAAUCAUUUGUGAACCAUCUACACAGUGAGAAGUGUCUGAACUUCAGUGCAGAAGACCACAGCAACCAUGGGCGUGUAUAUUGGUAUGGAGAAACCGUAAUAUCUAAGCGAUGUGGAAAACUGUACCAAUGGAGAACAGCAAUCCCGCCCAGUCUCCAGGACUGCUAGGCUUUGCAUUAGUAAGAACCAAUCUUUUAUUGUGCUAUAUUACUGAGAAUUUUGCAAUUAGUAUUGUAGUGUAUUCUAACUUGUCCUGACUAAUACAUCCAAGUUAAUUAGCAAGUACUCUGGGAUUCUUGAACCCCACCCCCCCCCCGGCCCCGCUGAAUUUCUGGGGUGUUGCUUCUGCCUAGGGUUUCAGGAUGUAUUGAUAUUUUACAUACGGAUUCAUUCAUACUGCUUUCUCAAAUUCCGAUUAGCAUUGAAGUCCUAGAAAGAUGUUAGUCUUUAUAAAACUCCAGUGAGUUGACAGUAAGCACCAAAUGUUCUCAUAGAUAGUUUCUGGGACUACGUAUGAAAGAGUAUAUUUUUUAGACUUUGAAAUAUGCAUUUUUAUGUCUGAAAUGAUUUUUGUUGACAUUAAAAUAUGUCCUGAAUUGUGACAUCUCAAGCUGGAUGGCUUUUACCUACUCAUUAUAUAAAUUCUGUUAUGUAAGCUAGAAUGCAAACUUUAUUUCAUUUACCUGAGUUUCUAGAUUAGAGAUUGUGAAAAUUCUAGGACAAUGGUAAUCAACCUCUCAUCUUCUGUUCCACAUAUUUCUUUCUCUCUUAAUUUGAAUCAAAAC